rnacentral:rRNA from 1 species
UACUCUAAUGCAAGGAUACAUUA